ensembl:lncRNA
AGAGAAUCUGUUUUCUCAUUGGCUACUGGAAGCAGAGAAUCUGUUUUCUCAUUGGCUACUGGAAGCAGAGAAUCUGUUUUCUCAUUGGCUACUGGAAGCAGAGAAUCUGUUUUCUCAUUGGCUACUGGAAGCAGAGAAUCUGUUUUCUCGUUGGCUACUGGAAGCAGAGAAUCUGUUUUCUCAUUGGCUACUGGAAGCAGAGAAUCUGUUUUCUCACUGGCUACUGGAAGCAGAGAAUCUGUUUUCUCAUUGUCUACUGGAAGCAGAGAAUCGGUUUUCUCAUAGGCUACUGGAAGCAGAGAAUCGGUUUUCUCAUAGGCUACUGGAAGCAGAGAAUCGGUUUUCUCAUAGGCUACUGGAAGCACUCAGAAUGUGGCUGAUUGUGCAUCCCAAAUGGCACCCUAUUCCCUUGGUAGUGCACUACUUUUGAACAGGACCCAUAGGGAAUAGGGUGCACUAUUUUAGAACAGGACACAUAGGGAAUAGGGUGCACUACUUUAGAACAGGACCCAUAGGGAAUAGGGUGCACUAUUUUAGAACAGGACACAUAGGGAAUAGGGUGCACUAUUUUAGAACAGGACACAUAGGGAAUAGGGUGCACUACUUUAGAACAGGACACAUAGGGAAUAGGGUGCACUAUUUUAGAACAGGACACAUAGGGAAUAGGGUGCACUACUUUAGACCAGGACACAUAGGGAAUAGGGUGCACUACUUUUGAACAGGACCCAUAGGGAAUAGGGUGCACUACUUUUGAACAGGACACAUAGGGAAUAGGGUGCACUACUUUUGAACAGGACCCAUAGGGAAUAGGGUGCACUACUUUUGAACAGGACCCAUAGGGAAUAGGGUGCACUACUUUUGAACAGGACACAUAGGGAAUAGGGUGCACUACUUUAGACCAGGACCCAUAGGGAAUAGGGUGCACUACUUUAGAACAGGACCCAUAGGGAAUAGGGUGCACUACCUUAGACCAGGACACAUAGGGAAUAGGCAUAUUCCAUUAUAAACAAUCUCUGUUUAGAGGUGACCUAGCCCUAUUCCAUUAUAAACAACCUCUGUUUAGAGUUGACCUAGCCCUAUUCCAUUAUAAACAACCUCUGUCUAGAGGUGACCUAGCCCUAUUCCAUUAUAAACAACCUCUGUUUAGAGGUGACCUAGCCCUAUUCCAUUAUAAACAACCUCUGUCUAGAGGUGACCUAGCCCUAUUCCAUUAUAAACAACCUCUGUUUAGAGGUGACCUAGCCCUAUUCCAUUAUAAACAACCUCUGUCUAGAAGUGACCUAGCCCUAUUCCAUUAUAAACAACAAUAUAACUAUGUUUAGAGGUGACCUAGCCCUAUUUCAUUAUAAACAACCUCUGUCUAGAGGUGACCUAGCCCUAUUCCAUUAUAAACA